GAAUGCUUAUAGUGGUCCAUAUACUGCACUCUUCCCACUUAGUGUAAUGCAUAUAAUGAAUAUGUUUAUGAAGGUGUAAUGCAUUUGUUAAGGUGGUCAUAAGGAACCAUGAGCUGUUGUGAAUGCUUACGACAAGUCUUAUAAUACACUAUGGAGUGAUCGACUGUGCUAUAAAUGCAGUCAUAAUGAUUUGUACACGAUUCCUAAAAUCUGCUACCUUUUCUGUCUCCCUUCCUGCCAAAUAUGGAUUUAUCAGAAUACGUGUUGUUGUUAUUAUCUUUUGAGGUAAUGUUGUAUGUAAUGAGGAAGUGUGUUAUCCAGAGAAAUAUAAUUCUAGUUUCAUGGUUUCACCUUUGGGGUUUCUGUUUCCUGUCCUGCACAUUCCAACAGGCCGCUUGCCUUGGUGUCUGCCUGUUCCGUACCUGUACAUUUCCCUGUCAUAACUUCAGUGACUUUCUCUCCAUCUCCUCCUCUAUUUCUCUCCGUUAUGUAUCUUUCUCUUUCAAAAUGUACUGUAGUCCCAAGUCAUUACCCAGUAUAUUAAGCUAACCAAGCCCUUGAAAUAUGUUCAGUGAUUCUAUUCUUUGUUUGCUUUUUGAAUGUCGAUGUUUUUGAGUCCAGCCCAACAGCACAGCAACAGCAAAGCCAAUGGAUCUCCAUCCAAAUGUAAUUCAUCGUCAUGGCAGCUCCGCUCAACUCUGUGCUUCUUCUUCUACCGUACUCGUAAUCGACAUACCUAUUUGAUCUGUUUGUCUUUGUCACUGUUUUACCUGUUAUACCGGUCUUUGAUCUGUUUGUCUUUGUCACUGUUUUACCUGUUUUUGAUCUGUUUGUCUUUGUCACUGUUUUACCUGUAUUUGAUCUGUUUGUCUUUCUGUCACUGUUUUACCUGUUUUACCUGUCUUUGAUCUGUUUGUCUUUGUCACUGUUUUUACCUGUCUUUGAUCUGUUUGUCUUUGUCACUGUUUUACCUGUCUUUGAUCUGUUUGUCUUUAUUUUUUAACUGUCUAAAUGUUUUUCUCCUGCUGUGCCAUGUCUUUACCGAGCCUUAUCGUUGGCUGGAGUGAAACUGACCUUAUUUGUGUUUCUUUAUUAUCUUGUUCGUGUUAAUUGAUUGAUUGAUGUUCCUUCAUUAUGUGUAGAAGAGGGAUUUGUUUUAUUGCUUAUGUCAGUCUGUGACAUCAAGUGAAUGGAUGACUUAAUGUCAUGAUGAAGAUGAUGUUGAAAAUAAGGCAGGUGAUGUAAAUGUGAUAGAGAGAAAAUAAACACAAAUGGAAUGGAAUAUGUAUUCUCAGUCUCUCUUUCUUCUCUGUGUGUGUGUGUGUCUCUGUGUUUUUGUCAUAGGCAAAAUUGCUCCCCUCCCCCCAAUAUUCAGAACAGGUGGAUUCGUCCCCCUCAAAAUAUAUAUUGAUUGGGGGCCCCUGGAGUUUGGGGCCCCCAGAUAGCAUAUGCAAGUUUCAUAAGCACUGGUAAAAUAUGUCGAAAUGCAGUCAAUUUGCUUUUAACCGUCAAAAAACAAAUCUCAGCCUCAUGGCAAAAGUUGCAGAAUGGAGGUAGGUGCCCCAAAUGCAUUAGUCCGGCCCUAUUUAGAUGCACUGCGAUCCUUGGUGUCCCCCAUUAUCAUUGGGCCAAAGCGUUGUCAAUCUAGCUCAGAUAAACUGGUCAAACUAAGUAGAGAAUCAAUCUUCAGGAUGUUAUUUUCAUAUAUAUCCAAUAACGUUCCAACCGGAUCAUACGUUUUCAGCUGCAGCCAAAUGGAACGACGGUGGCACGCACAGAGAAAAGCGCCGCAGGAAAAUGGCAUUCUGUCGGGACAGUGACCAUUUCCCCUCCCGUUCGGUCAAAGUUCACACCAAAAGCUCCAUUCCUCUUUCUACUGAAUGAGGACAUCUAGUGGAAGGCGUAGUAAGUGCUUCCAGAUCCAUAUCUUGUUGGGAAAGGAGGGGGCGAUGACGUCAAAGUUGACCCACAUUCAGAAUUUCACUUCUUGUUUGGAAGAUUGCCUGCCCUGUGAGUUCUGUUAUACUCACAGACAUAAUUCAAACAGUUUUAGAAACUUCUGUGUUUUCUAUCCAAUAGUAAUACUAAUAUGCAUAUAUUAGCAAUCUAGGACAGAGUAGGAUGCAGUUCACGCAAUUCAUCCAAAGUGAAAAUACUGCCCCCUAUCCUCAACAAGUUUUAACCAUGAAGAGAGGAAAAAAAUAUCCCCUUUACCUCAACACAAUUGAAUUGUAUCUAAGGGUAGCAUGUUCAUUUAAGUAAACAUAUACAUUGACACUGUUUAAAACUUAUGAUUUGAGGUAAAGGGGAAUUAUCAUUAGGUUUAGUUGAUAGUUCACUUUUUGAGUUUCUGAAUCGAAGUAGCAUAGUGAAUGCUAGUUAGGCGUUUUGAGUUCUUCUGGGAAAUUGAUGUUUAGGUGUCUCACUUUUAGAUGUUUCCUGGGAUUAUAAUCUUGGGGAGAGUGGGUGAGAUUGAGGCCAUAAAUGACUAAAUUGAAAAAGCCCUGGAAGUUUUGUUUAUUCAUUAAGGUUUGCAAAUAUAUACACAUAAAACAUUUGUUAGGACUAUUUGUUUUAGUGCAAAGGUAUUUUAAAGAGGCACGCUCACAUAUGGAACUUUAUGAGUUUUAAUUACACAAGUUAAUUUUUUAUUUUAAGGAUAAAGGGUUCUUUAAUAUGUCUAAUGUAGUAUGGAACAUGACUAUAAAAGGGUGGUAUGACCUAUUGACCUUAUCAUGGCUAUAUUUUAGGGUCUGAUCAGCCUCAGGGGAGAGCCAUUGGUAUAAUGAAUUUGUGGUCAUUUGGGUUACUAGUUUUAAGGUAAAUUAAUUAUAAUGGAGUUUUAGUUUAGGGUUAGAAUUAUUGUUUGAAUCACUGAUGAGAAAGUGUUUCAGGAUUCUGUUUUACAAUAUUAGCUUUGAAGUUUUUGAAUUUGCUAUUAUUGAUUUGGUAUUACAACAGAAAAUAAUCCUAUUUAUCAUUGAGAAUAAAUAGGGGGAGAUAAAACAUGGUCCUUUGAGGUUUGGACAGGACACCGUAUUAAACCAAUAGUGCAGGAAAUUACAUAGAAAAAUAAGUUUCAGUUCUUAGAGGUGAUAAAUUACUGUAGAUAAGGCAUUCCACACACUAUGCAACAUAUAUUAAAUUAUUGAUGAAACUGAUUUUAAGGUUAAUUCAUGUUAUUGUCAGAUAAAAUACUGUGGAUCCCUGAAGGAAAAAGGUUAUUAGUGUAGGAAGGAUUUGAUAUAUUUAGCAUUCAUUUUGGCUUUGUUUGACUAUUAGGAGGUUUUUAUUUAAAUAGUAUUACAUUUGACAGGAAUAUAUGACAUCUGUGAUGAUUUAGGAUUUUUGUAAGGAUUAAGAUAGAUUGAUUAAGGAAAUGUAAGGACUUUAGAGAUUGCCACUUAUAGACAUGUUUUUUCUAAAAUGAAUGAUUUUAGAUAAAGUCAAACAGUGAGAAGCUUAGUGGUAUUUGAGAGAUAGGAGAGAAAGGGGUUACUGUUUAAAUCUGUAAAUAUAUAUAUAUUUAAGAAAAUAUAUAAAUAGCACAGAUACUUCUUAAACUAGAUAAGACACUUGACAGAGAAUUGAUACAGGAUUGAGAUGAAUGGAUGCCCAAGGGAGAAUUGGAAAGAAAUGUCAGAAAAUAAGGAUAAUUUACUAAUCCUACCCAAAUCAUUAUUUAGGGUAGAUAAGGUUGUUACCUGGGCAGAGCCAGGUAUCAAAAGGGGGAUGGGUAAGUUAGUGGCCUAUUGGAUAAUAAACUAAUAAUACAUUUUUUUAAAAUUAGCUAACAAAUAGGCAUAGAAGUUAAAGAUAUAAUCAGAUUAAACAUAUGAUAAACUGUGUUGUUAACCAAGCCUUUAUGUCCAGGAUUUUAUGCAUUACAGGUGAACUACAGGUGAAGUCACUCAAUCCAGUCCCUGAGACUUGUUGGGGGAACCAUACCAAGGACUCCUGGUGACAGCUAGCUGAAAGAGCUACCCGGAUUCAUAUCACACGGUGGGAGGGUAAGACACCUUGACACUGUCGAAAAAUAAACAGUGUUCGAGAGGAGAACUGGAAUUAACAGAAUUCCGGGUGCCAUCUCUCGAAUGAAGAUAUCCUUUCUGUCAUUUCACACCUGUUUUUGUUCAUAGAAGUGAAUGUGUGUCUGGCUCUUGCUAAUGAUGUGUUCUCGGGGAGAGGGUGGGGCUUCACAUGGGCGCUGUUCAUCUGAGCUGUCUUAUCGUGGGUGCCAUAUUCCUGAUACAGCAAGUCCCAUCUGAGUAUGCGGAGAGUGG
rnacentral:lncRNA from 13 species